rnacentral:sRNA from 1 species
UGAGCCAUUGGGCGGAAGAUAUUCAUCGGCAU